CCGGACUCGGGGCUCCCUGCCCGGGCUGCAGCCGCACUCAGCCCCGCUGCCGGAGGACGCGGCCGGAGCAGGAACCCGAGAGCUGUGGGCACAGAUGAGAUGAGACCCAGGCCAAGGCAAGUGUGACAAGAUCAGAUUCCCCUGGGCUGAGACAUUUUCCCCUCUGGAUUUCCCUGGCCAGAAAACAAGGAAUCCCAAACUGGCAGCUGGCUGAGCUGAUGAAGAAAGCAGCACAUUCUUGACCCAAAUCAGGGAGAAAGCUGGGAUAUAAAGUUGGGAUAAAGCUGACCCACCUGGGAUAAAGCUGGGAUAGAGCUGACCCACCUGGGAUAGAGCUGGGAUAAAACUGACCCACCUGGGAUAGAGCUGACCUGUGCUGGAGGCUGCAGCUCCUGCUCUCCACUGCUGAGUGUCCCCCAUGCCUGCAGCACCCAAAGGUGGCUCCUGGAUGUGACAGGGCACUCCUGAAUCUGCUUCUCCAGGAUCCUGAGAACACUCCCGAGUCCCAAUGAGGCCCAAGCUGAGGGAGGCUCCUGGAGCUGCCCUUGUGGCCCCAGCAGAGUACGAGAACUUUGCUGCUGUGAACUCCACCGGGGACACGGAGAGCGAGCAGCUGCAGGGCUCCCUCUCGUCCACCAUCGCCCUCAUCGUGGUGCUGGCCAUCCUCUUCUCCCUGGUCAUGACGUCCCUCGUCACCUACUGCUUCCACAAGUGGAAACUCAGAGGGAGAAGACUGCAGAAAGCACAAGAGGAGUAUCAGAGAGACCAAGAAAAGAGCAUUUGCCAAAGCACACCUGAACUUGUUUCAUAAAACGAGGAAACCAGGAUCCACCAUGAUGAAGGACUCUUGAAUUACCUGCAAAUGAAAAUCGUGAGAGAACUGCAAAUUUGGGAUUUCCAAGCAAACUCAUCGUUGUUUUAUCUCAUUUCUAAGAGUUGUUAGCAGUUUGGAGAUUUCCUACAGUUUAUUAUACAUAUACAUAUAUAUAUUUAUACAUUUAGUCUCAUUUGUGCAAAGUAAAACCAAUGCAAUGAUGUAUUUUUAAUCUCUUCUGUCAUUUUAAUCCUCACUGGGCAAACUGGCAGUGCCUGUGAGGGUGGGGAGGCCCUGGCACAGGUGCCCAGAGAAGCUGGGGCUGCCCCUGGAUCCCUGGCAGUGCCCAAGGCCAGGCUGGAGCAGUCUGGGGACAGUGGGAGGUGUCCCUGCCAUGGCAGGGCUGGAAUGGGAGGAGUUUUUAGCUCCAUUCCAACCUUAACCAGAAUUUUCUGUACAUUUUUUCACAAUUUCCAGUAUUGCAAGUAUUUCAAAUAUUCCAAAUUUCACUCUGUUGCUCUCAGUCUUUCACAGAGCCCCUAGAAAGUGAAGAGGUAGAUUUGGGGUACCCAGGGGGGCUGAGCUG